CUCCUCCGUCCCAGAUUUUAAUAAGAUGUAGACCUAUGUGGGUGUGUUAUGGACAAGACUGGUUCUUACAGAGACUCUUAAAGGAAAAUGGCAAAACAUUGUUAGAGUUUUGUAAACCAUUGUUCAAGUUUCCUUUAAAAUGCGGUUCAAGUUUCAAAAAUUAUUGCUAGAAGUCUAUGGAAGUGACAACACAACCCUUAGAUUUUACCUGUAAUUCAUCUCCAUGCAUACUGGGAAAUAGCAUUAGAAUUUUGGCAGUGGUGUUACAUGAUGAGCUCUCAUUUGUGUUUCCUUUCCCCCCAGGCAGAUUUAUUUCUUGCCCACAUCAAAAUGCAGAGGCUGUUCCAUCCAUCAGGACCAUGGCAUGCAAAGGAGGCGUUAUCAAAAUGCAUCUUGCAUCCUGGCAUGGAAAACUUGAAAACUUGUCAGUAGAGGUACCUCCUGGGGACAAUAGCUAUUCAUCUGGGCUCAACAGGUCCCCAAAAGGCAUCUCAAAGCUCAGACAGUUACAUCCUCCAGCUCUUUACUGUGGAAAACAACAUGGAAUGCUGGUGUUGGAACCAAAAGUUAAUAUCUUAAAGCCACCACAACCAUAUCUGAGAAGAAACACCAGCUGGCCAACAUGCUUGUCCCAGAAGAUGGGGGAGCCCAGCUCAGCCUCGCCAGUGCUUGUGCAGUUCCAGCAAGGAUAGAGGGCCUGGCCUCACCAGGAGCUGCCUGCUCCUCCCAGGACUGACUCAGCCAGCCUUGUACCAUGAACUGACCUCCUACUGUUCUCCAUGUCAAAUGGAUCCCAAGCUUCUCCCCUGGGGAUUAAACACUGCCUGUCUGAGCAUCUCCUUCUUCCAACAAGGGAGGACAUCUUUAGGGCGGCAGCACGCGAUGCACUCUCAGCAACUCUCUCUGCAGCAGGCUGACCCUGGCCUCCUACCAUCCAAUCUGAGCUGGGCUUUCUCCUCUGUCUUUGAGGAGUGCUGAGGAGAGAGGAAAAUCAAUGAGAUUUUGUGAAAUAACUGCGGAUUGUGCUCUGGGGAGAGAAUGGGGAAAGCGUAUUAUAGAUAUUCUGGAUCAACAGGAUUCAUGCAACAUUGGAGCUUCUACUGUUAACUCUCAUACUAAUGUGCUUUCAUCUUUACCUCUGAUUUGGGGGACUUUAAUGUGAUCUACUAUAAAAACUGUUUUCUGUGAAAAGGACAAGAAGAGUAUCAUCUGUGAGAAACGGAAGUACUGGUUUUCCCAUAAUCAUUUUUCUUUCCCUACCAGAGAUCUAUAAACUUUCUACUCAGAGGUCUGACCAUAGUUUAAGAGCACAAAUAAGAAACACAAAAAUAAAAUAUAAAAAAGAUGGAUGUAGGUUAUUUGGAAAGCUGACGCACAGGCAUCCAGACAUUGUCCUGUUAAUUUAGCAGUCACUUCAGAAGACAACAUAACAUUUACAUCUUUUGCAGAAAAAGAAAAAAAAAUUUUAAAAAAGAAAAUAAUAAAAAAAAAGCAGCCUGCUAUCAAAGGAGUUGUCUCUGGUACAUUUUUUGACUGAGGUUUGGUAAGGUUUUUUAUCCCCUCUACAGGUGUAUCAGCCUUGGUGUGAAACAGAAGGAUUGCUGCUGGUUCAUAAGAAAAGGUGAUAAUUUGAAGAAUAUUUUGGGCUGUUUUUCUUCAGGGAAUUUAGUUGAGAAAAUGUUCUUUCCAACUGCACUUUUCAACAUUGCUAAACUAAUAUACCAUUCAUAUAGGAGGUGCUGUCAUGUUGUCUGGGACUGCUUUUGCCUGACUGCCUGUCUAUUAUACCUGGAAAAUUAUUUGGCAGCAAAUGAUACCAUUAAUUUCAUAGCAACUUUUUAUUUUAUGAGAAAGUGAAUAAGGGUUAUUUUGCCUGCUUCUUGUCUGCAUUUACAUGGUGUGAGAGUUCAAAAGGGUCCUUGCUUCAUCUAGUUGCUAUAUUUCCUAUAAACGGAGAUGGUCACAGUUUCAGAGAUUGAAUCUGUAUUAGGUACUUUGCCAGGGAAAAUAUUUUACCCGUUUUUUUGUUUUUACAAAUAAAUGCAAGG